rnacentral:lncRNA from 1 species
GGAAAAAAGAAACAAAUUAGUCAAGAUGUUUUGGUGCUUGAGGACUUAGGAUCUGAUCUAUUAGAUGAGCUAUUAUCUCAGAGUUGAUCGUUAGGUAAACACAAACAUCAUCUUCUGCAUCCAUGGAUCAAUUUCCCAUCUCCUUUGUUGUUUCUUACUUGAACCCUAGAUCUCAACCUCUUUCCCCUUUCCCCUUUUAUCUUCCCUUUUGCUUAAAUCAUUCAUCAAUUUUAAAUCCAUUUCAAUUAAAGCUUACGGUCUCUUAAUGACUUUGAAGACACAUGUUUCAAUUUUCAAUUUCAAUUGAUUUCUGUUUCUGGUUUUUUAUUUUGAUAAGUUCCAUGUUCCUGAGAUCUGAGAAGACAAGAUAAACUUCUAUUUAUUCAAAUUCAAUAAAAAAAAAAAAAAAAAAAUUAAAACGUUUUUGUUGGCUAACAAUUUUAUGAAACGAAAAAUGUGAAAUAAUCUCACAUUCUCAUCUUCCACAUAAUAAUUUUGUCGUACUUUUUAUAUACUUUGGAGAGUUGUUACACCUUUUUGUGGAUGAAUUUAUCACCAUUCGAUGCCUAAAACACAAAAAUGUAUUUUCAUUCAUUCUUUACGAGAGGAAUUGAAGAUUAUUAUGAUCUUGGAUAUGAUUAUUCUUGAAAUUUUGUAGCUGAUAGAAUUCUUUAUUUAGUGCCCAUAAAGAACUAGCUAAUUAAUUGAAUUUUUCCUCUGAUUCCCAGCUAGUUUAUGCAUAUAGAUCUCUUUUGAUCGGUAAAAUAACAUCCUUUUGUUGCUAUAUUAUUAUGAUUAAGCUUCAGCCUUGAUGUUUUGAUCUUGAAGAAAUGUUUUUGAUUUGAAUAUCAUCAGGAGUUUCUGAUGUUCACAUGAUUUGUGAUGAUUGUGAUAAAUGAUUGGAGUAGUUCAUUAUAGUAUAUGUAUAAUAGGAACUUAAUUCAAUGAUGGCAGAAGUGAUUUGUACUGCAUAUAUAUAACAUCAUUUUAUUCAUCAUGCUAAGUGUUUCUAGCUCAGGCAACAAGUUAAUAAUUUUUUCCAUAUUGAAAAUUGUUACAUCCACACGUUUGUGGCAAAAACUCAUAAAUUGUUUAAUUUCGAACUUCAAUAAAUUAUUACAUUAAUUGUUUGCUCAUACAAUAGCAGCUAGUAAGCUAAUUUCAAGACUUCUUCAGUAUUGAUAGAAAUCAAUUCAACAAAGCAUUUAUGUACUUAAUAAUUUUCAACUUUCAUGCGAACAAUCUAGGCCACGGGCAGCAAUCUUAUUUUUCCAUUAGCUAUUUUCAUUUACAACGAUGCUGUUCUCUCAUCUCCUGGAGUCUAAUUCUAUCGUGUUCUUUUGAAGGUUUUGGCAUGCCAUCUCCCCAGAAGGUCUCGUAACUUUGGUGCUUCCUUAUAUGAGGUAGAUUAGUUGGUCUACAGAAAAGCUUCUCGUUGUUUUUCUAUAUUACAUAUUAGGGGUACUCCUUUGUUGGUGUUGUGGUUAUCCUAAGGACACCUCAACCGAUCCCCAUUAAGAAAAAUAAGGGAAAGAGGAAAAGGAAGACAAAGAAGUUCUGAUAUGUAUCUACAAAAAUGAGUUUUCAAGCACUAGCUUCCUGUUGUUUUUCUAUAUUACAUAUUAGGGGUACUCCUUUGUUGGUGUUGUGGUUAUCCUAAGGACACCUCAACUGAUCCCCAUUAAGAAAAAUAAGGGAAAGAGGAAAAGGAAGACGAAGAAGUUCUGAUAUGUAUCUACAAAAAUGAGUUCUCAAGCACUAGCUCCCUACUUUAAAGGUUGUUUUGUUCUUAUUUGUUAAUUAUUUAUUACGCUAUAACUACUCUUAAGUAUAUUGUGUUUUGAAGUGCAUAUUUUUA